rnacentral:tRNA from 3 species
AAAUAUAAAGAUUAAAACUUUUUUUAGAA